rnacentral:lncRNA from 1 species
CUGGUAUCUGCAAAAACGAUAAGCAGAAUGUAUCCUAAGACGUCAUUGCCAAAGUCUCUGAUCAAAAUUAAAUUUUCAAACUAAAAACUCCUCCCAUAGGCAUAUGGAACCUUCUCCAAUCCUUCAAAUGUGUCAUAUAUAUAUAUAUAUAUAUAUAUAUAUAUCGNNNNNNNNNNNNNNNNNNNNUUGGUGAUCGUUAAGGCUUUCAAAAGUUCAAUUUAGUUUUAAUGACCUUCAACGGUUUUAGUUUGACAUAAGCUGGACCGUUCAAAAUCAUUAAAACUAAAUCAAACUUUUGAAAGUCUUAACGAUCACCAAAUCAUAUGAAAUUUUGUAGAGGUGAUCUACUCAUAUAGACCUAAGAUAUGAACGGUGGAGAUGUAAAAAUUCAAUUGGAAAGUGGUGUAAUGCCCUAUCCCUAGAAAGUGGCCAAAAAAUAGGGAUCCCUCAAUGGAAGGGGGCUGAUAUAUAUAUAUAUAUAUAUACAUAUAUACACUUCGGUUCAUAUUUCAUCAACCAAUCUUUCCUAACUAUGAUAAUGUUCUAGGACACCUUGUAAAUCCAUCCUAGAACAAAGAAAGUUGCUAAAGACAAACAUCAGUCUGCUUACUCAUCCAUCCACUGUUUGUGGGGCCAAUACCGCACAAUGCCCAAGAGACCGCGCAACAUGCAUGAUAUUGAUAUUACCAACUAAACCAAUUAAUUUUGUAAUAAGUUGUAAAGAAAUUACGUUCUAUUCUUUAAGUUUCCUUUAGCAAGAACAUCAUGAAUUGACAAGUCUUUGACAAAACAUACAAGCAAAAUACUAUCAGAAGCAUGUCAGUGCAGGACAAAAAGAAAAAUGGUUAGUCAGGUC